UAGGGAAUCUUCGGCAAUGGACGAAAGUCUGACCGAGCAACGCCGCGUGAGUGAAGAAGGUUUUCGGAUCGUAAAACUCUGUUGUUAGAGAAGAACGUUGCAUAGAGUGGAAAAUUAUGCAAGUGACGGUAUCUAACCAGAAAGGGACGGCUAACUACGUGCCAGCAGCCGCGGUAAUACGUAGGUCCCGAGCGUUGUCCGGAUUUAUUGGGCGUAAAGCGAGCGCAGGUGGUUUAAUAAGUCUGAUGUAAAAAGGCAGUGGCUCAACCAUUGUGUGCAUUGGAAACUGUUAGACUUGAGUGCAGUAGAGGAGAGUGGAAUUCCAUGUGUAGCGGUGAAAUGCGUAGAUAUAUGGAGGAACACCGGUGGCGAAAAGCGGCUCUCUGGACUGUCACUGACACUGAGGCUCGAAAGCGUGGGUAGCAAACAGGAUUAGAUACCCUGGUAGUCCACGCCGUAAACGAUGAGUGCUAG
rnacentral:rRNA from 1 species